rnacentral:rRNA from 1 species
UACGUAGGGGGCUAGCGUUGUCCGGAAUCAUUGGGCGUAAAGAGCGUGUAGGCGGCCCGGUAAGUCCGCUGUAAAAGUCAAAGGCUCAACCUUUGAAUGUCAGUGGAUACUGCCGGGCUAGAGUCCGGAAGAGGUGAGUGGAACUCCUGGUGUAGCGGUGGAAUGCGCAGAUAUCAGGAAGAACACCAACGGCGAAGGCAGCUCGCUAGGACGGUACUGACGCUGAGACGCGAAAGCGUGGGGAGCGAACAGG